UGAUUUUCAUAUUGGGUCCUGAAUGAGGGCAAGAUGUUGGCAUAGCUGUUGAAGUGAAGGCUCUGCUAUGCCAGUGACUUGCCAUCCUUCACUUCCCUGUUGCAGCCA